rnacentral:rRNA from 1 species
AGACCCGAAACCCGGUGAUCUAGCCAUGGGCAGGUUGAAGGUUGGGUAACACUAACUGGAGGACCGAACCGACUAAUGUUGAAAAAUUAGCGGAUGACCUGUGGCUGGGGGUGAAAGGCCAAUCAAACCGGGAGAUAGCUGGUUCUCCCCGAAAGCUAUUUAGGUAGCGCCUCGUGAAUUCAUCUCCGGGGGUAGAGCACUGUUUCGGCUAGGGGGCCAUCCCGGCUUACCAACCCGAUGCAAACUGCGAAUACCGGAGAAUGUUAUCACGGGAGACACACGGCGGGUGCUAACGUCCGUCGUGAAGAGGGAAACAACCCAGACCGCCAGCUAAGGUCCCAAAGUCAUGGUUAAGUGGGAAACGAUGUGGGAAGGCCCAGACAGCCAGGAUGUUGGCUUAGAAGCAGCCAUCAUUUAAAGAAAGCGUAAUAGCUCACUGGUCGAGUCGGCCUGCGCGGAAGAUGUAACGGGGCUAAACCAUGCACCGAAGCUGCGGCAGCGAACGUAUCACUUAAAGCGAUUCAGCGGGUUACGAUUGACGGAGCGAAGCGACGUCAAAGCGUAUACAAAGUCGAGUCGGUUUAAGGAUACGUUCGUUGGGUAGGGGAGCGUUCUGUAAGCCUGUGAAGGUGGCCUGUGAGGGUUGCUGGAGGUAUCAGAAGUGCGAAUGCUGACAUAAGUAACGAUAAAGCGGGUGAAAAGCCCGCUCGCCGGAAGACCAAGGGUUCCUGUCCAACGUUAAUCGGGGCAGGGUGAGUCGACCCCUAAGGCGAGGCCGAAAGGCGUAGUCGAUGGGAAACGGGUUAAUAUUCCCGUACUUGGUGUUACUGCGAAGGGGGGACGGAGAAGGCUAUGUUGGCCGGGCGACGGUUGUCCCGGUUUAAGCGUGUAGGUGUGUGUUCCAGGUAAAUCCGGUUCACUUUAACACUGAGGCGUGACGACGAGGCACUACGGUGCUGAAGCAACAAAUGCCCUGCUUCCAGGAAAAGCCUCUAAGCAUCAGGUAACAUCAAAUCGUACCCCAAACCGACACAGGUGGUCAGGUAGAGAAUACCAAGGCGCUUGAGAGAACUCGGGUGAAGGAACUAGGCAAAAUGGUGCCGUA